AGUACGUGAAACUGGCUUAGAGGGUUAAGCCCGAUGAACCUGAAUAUCCAUUAUGGAAAAUUCAACAUUAAUAUUAUAAUAUUUAUUUAAUAAAUAUUAUAAAAAUAGUGUGCAAUUUUUCCAUAUAAGGACAUUGGUAAUCUGUUAAUGUAAUAAAUAUUUAUCAUAAGAUUUAAUAUAUAAAAGUUUAUUUAAAUUAGUUAUUUUUUUUAAAUUUCUAACAUAGAAUAAAUUUAAUUAAAUUUGAUAAAUCAUUGACAGAUUUAUUUAUAUAUAGUGCAUAAAUUCUUAAUUGAAUUUUACAAUAAUAUUUAAAUGUAUUUUCAUUUAUUUAUUUAUUGUACGCAUUUAUAUGAUUAACAAUGCUAUAGAUUCAGGAUACCUUCGGGACCCGUCUUGAAACACGGACCAAGGAGUCUAACAUAUGUGCAAGUCAUUGGGUAUUUUUAAUAAAACCCAAAGGCAUAAUUAACUUAACUAUUUUAAAUUAUAUGGGAUUAGUUUAUAUUUUAUUAUGAAAUAUUAAUUCAAUCCCGGGGCGUUCUAUAUAGUUAUGUAUAAUAAUAUUUAUAUUAUUUAUACCUCUAACUAGAGCGUACCUUUAGCAUAUAUGCUGUGACCCGAAGAUG
rnacentral:rRNA from 1 species